GGUGGCAAGGUAAACCCCACUCGGAGCAAGACCAAAUAGAGGAGUUGGCUGUUUUCAGUCACCCGUGCCCACGGGACUCCCGGGUAGGUUGCUUGAGGCCAUUGGCGACAAUGGUCCCAGAUGAAUGAUUGCCCACGACAGAACCCGGCUUAUCGGCCAACUUCGCUU
rnacentral:RNase_P_RNA from 1 species